GGGUUGAUGGUGUAUUUGGUUAUCACAUCUGUCUAACACACAGAAGGUCCUCAGUUUGAGCCUGGGUCAACUCA